CGAGUGGCGGACGGGUGAGUAAUGCGUAGGAAUUACCUCAAAGCGGGGAUAGCCCGGAGAAAUCCGGAUUAAUACCGCAUGUGCUCUACGGAGGAAAGCGGGCCUCUACUUGUAAGCUCGCACUUUGAGAUAAGCCUACGUCGGAUUAGCUUGUUGGUGGGGUAAAAGCCUACCAAGGCGACGAUUCGUAGCUGGUUUGAGAGGAUGAUCAGCCACACUGGGACUGAGACACGGCCCAG
rnacentral:rRNA from 1 species